UACGUAGGGGGCGAGCGUUGUCCGGAUUCAUUGGGCGUAAAGAGCUCGUAGGCGGCUUGGUUAGUUGGGUGUGAAACCUCCAGGCUUAACCUGGAGACACCACUCAAUACUGCCAUGGCUAGAGUCCGGUAGGGGACCACGGAAUUCCUGGUGUAGCGGUGAAAUGCGCAGAUAUCAGGAGGAACACCGGUGGCGAAGGCGGUGGUCUGGGCCGGCACUGACGCUGAGGAGCGAAAGCGUGGGGAGCGAACAGG
rnacentral:rRNA from 1 species